UACGGAAGGGGCAAGCGUUGUUCGGAAUCAUUGGGCGUAAAGGGCGCGUAGGUGGUUCUGUAUGUCUACCGUGAAAGCGUACGGCUCAACCGUAUUUUGUCGGUGGAAACUGCAGGACUUGAGGCUGGGAGGGGCUGGUGGAAUUCCCUGUGUAGCGGUGAAAUGCGUAGAGAUGGGGGAGAACACUCGUGGCGAAGGCGGCCAGCUAGACCAGUUCUGACACUGAGGCGCGACAGCGUGGGGGAGCAAACGGG
rnacentral:rRNA from 1 species